AAAAAUUAUUACGCUGUUAUCCCUAGAGUAUUUUUUCCAAUAACCAAGUUUAUUGGUUCUUGUUGAAAAAACUAAAUUUUUGGGCAAGAAGACCCUAUGAAUUUUAAAAAUUUCAAUAAAAUACAGCAUUUUAUUGAAAUUUUUUAAUUGGGGCGAUUAUUAAAUAUUAAAAACUUUAAUUUUUUAAAAAAGAACCAAUAAUAUUGGUUAUUUGAAAAAAUACUCUAGGGAUAACAGCGUAAUAAUUUUUGAUAGUUCUUAUAGACAAAAUAGUUUGCGACCUCGAUGUUGGAUUAGGAUUCUUUUUUAAUGAAGAAGUUAAAAAAAGAAGUUUGUUCAACUUUUAAAAUCCUACUUGAUCUGAGUUCAGACCGGAGUCUAUAGCCCAAAGGUUCCCUAAAAGUUUUUUUAAUUACUCAUAAUUUUUGGUUUUUUUUAUAUAUUUAUUAAU
rnacentral:rRNA from 1 species